AUCUUAUUGACCUAAAAGGAAAAAAAGCCACAAGAAGAAGUAAAGAACACAUAACAGGACAAAUGUUAAUAUGCAACCAUUAAUGUCAGAAGAGACUGGUGGAGUACCACGUUUGCAACCCAGGAAAACCAUGAAGAAAUUCUGUAUUAUUUUCUUUUCUUUCUUUCCAAAUUUUGUCUUCUUAUUCGGUGACUACUUGACUCUAACAAUAUGUCUCAGACAUAGGAAAAUAAGCAAGUUCUGGAGUUACAUUGGGAAAUUACAAAAUUCAUACCUACGCUUAAGCAUUUUACAGAAUUUGCAGGAGAAGUCCAUGACAAGUGAGGAGGAAAACAUUGUGAACAAAAGCCUAGAGAAUUAGACACUUAGAAUAAUACCUGUUAGAAUUACUAAACAAUUUAGAAUCCCCUGUAAGACAACUCUCAAAUAGACUUGCCAGCUAAUGAUAUUUUCCAAGAAAUUUUACUCAAAAUUGAAAUUGAAAUUUCAGGUGAUACACAAUAAUGUGCAGCUAUAAUUUUUCAAGAAAGACAGAUUUGGAGGUGGUUUCAAGCUCAAAAAGGACAAAUCCAAUUCAAAGAAAACUUGUGAAAUAUAAGAGUUUGUCUCACACCCAAGCAGGUGGUAUUGAGGAAAAAUAAAUGUAAACUGCAGAUGUACAGAAUGCACACCCACCAGCAAGGCAGUUGUAGCCUCCUCAGGGAAAAAAAAUGAAAGGAUUACAUGUUAGAAAUAAAAGGAAAGUAAUUUUCUGUGAUAUAUAAAUUGAAGUACAACUUGGAGAUACUGAACUAAUAAUUCCACUUGGUCUGGCACUAUGCAGCACCACUGCCAUGGGGAAAUGCCCCAUCCCUGGAAGUAUUCAAGUCCAGGCUGGAUGGGACCUUGAACAUCUGGUCUGGUGGAAAGAGUCCCUGUCCAUGGCAGGGGGGUGGAACUAGAUGAUCUUUAAAGUUCCUAGCAAUGCAAACCAUUCUGCGAGUCUACAAAAUCUUAAGUCAAGACCAAGGAAAGAGACAAAGAUGCAAAGACUUUGCUAACCCGAUUUUUAUAACCAGAUUUUUUUCAUAUGGUUUUAUAUAAGACUGCCGUUCAAGCUGUUGGAUUCUAGGAGUCACAGUUCCCAACUUUCACAUGACUGAGAUGCAUACCCUCCUCCUACUACUACAUUUAUCAAAAUCAGUAAUCCUGUCCAAGUACUUGAGAGCUCUGUUCUCAUAUCUUAUCAAUGUUUAAUUAUCUCUGCUUUCCUUCAUAAUUUUGCAUGUUGGGGAUUGCAAAAUGAAAUCUAAGAGCCCAUUAAAUAUGAUCCACUU